UAUUAGGCGUUGAGAGGAAAGAGUAGUAUUUGUCUCCCUGUAACUAAGAGACCUAGUGGUUGGUGUAAACUAGGACAAAGGCAAUAUACGAAUUACGACCUUGAGCUUCUUUUGAGAAAGUUGAGUAACGAAAGACGGCUUCAGACCGUUAUCUGAUUGAAGUGGAAGACUAAGGUUCUUCAAAAAGGGUGGUACCGCGGGCAUGUCCCGUCCCUUCU
rnacentral:ncRNA from 1 species